UGCUGAUAUUACAGGUGUGAGUCACUGCACAGUUUCUUUAUCUAUGAACCCUCCUUUUAAAUAUUCUUUGUCAAUCCCAAGGACUUUUAACCUUAAAAUCUUCUCUCUAACUCAGAUUAAAAUUUCCCAGAUGAUUAUGUUCCCUUUACUUAUACCCAAGUUUCAGUGACGUGAUGAGUGAUGACAUUUUUAUCUCAUAGAUGAGACGCACCACCUCUGAGGGUCAGAGUGAGGAAAUUCUCACCACUCCUGCUUGCUCUUGGUGCGUUCUUGCUAUUGGAUUCCAUUUAGAAAUUGGCAUGACCUUUUGCCCAAGUUGACAUAAAUUCUACUUUUUAAAUGUUUGAGGCAUUUAACCACUGACUACAAUGUGAAAUUCACACGUUACUGAACUUUUUCCUUUAUAGAGAAAUUUUUAAAGCAUUAUUAUUUGCUCUGUACAAGGCAUGGUGCCAGGAAAACAGAGGAGAUACUAAACGAGAUGUAAAACAAGCUCAAGUCUUGGGGGACAGAGAUGGGGGUGGAAAGGGAGGAAGAGGGAGACAGAGAGAGAGAAAGAUGAUUGUGAAAUCGAGAGGGCAGCAGAAGCCUUACAGAGAAGGAGAGGGCUUGAAUCACAGCAGUGAGAGCGGGAAAGGAAUGGAGACACCAUUUUAACUAACACUUCACUCAUCAAAUAAGAAAAAAGGAUUCAGAAAGUGUACAUGACUUAUUCGAAAUUACGCUAUCAUUAAGCCUAACUUGUUGCCAUACAGAGUAACAAAGAGAGAGGGAGAGAGAAUGAACAUACCUGUCCCCUGCCCUCCACUCAGUAAGCUCCUGAUGAACUCUCAGUCACCUGGGAAACCAACGCUGUUUCUGGCUAUAUAGAAAGGACUUUGUACAUAUAAUAUUAUAUUUCAUUUUCAAAUAAUCUUUCUCCCAGAGUUGACACACGCAGAAAAGAAUGCAAGUCACAAAUGCUCAGCUAGAUGAACUUUUACAAGGUGGACAUGCCUAUUACUACCCCUGCAUCGAGUCAUAAAAUAGCACCAUGAGCCAUCCUGGGGCUCCUUCCCUGACCCGCCACCACCCGCUCCUGAGAUGCGGCAGCUACUACCAUGACUUUCCAUUGCGUGAAUUAAUUUUACCUGUUUUUGAAGUUAAUGUAAACAAAAUCAUACAGUAUGUCUUUUUUUGGAGGAGGGGGACCUGGCCUGUUUCACUUGACCUUAUGUUUACGGCAUUCGUUCAAGCUGCGGCCUGUUUCCACUGAUGAAAGUACAAUUUUAUUGUGCAGUCUACAGUUGGUGGGGACUUCAGUUCUUUCCACUUGGGGGUGAUUACAAACUGGGCUGCAGUGAACAUGUGGUACAUGUCUUUUAGCACCCAUGUCUACAUUUGUGUAGGUUAUGUACCCAUGACAUGCCUGGGUCACUGGUUUUGCAUAUGUGCAGCUUUAGUAGGUACUGCUAAACGGUUUUUCCAACUUGUAUGAAUUUACAUAAGAAUUCCUCUUUCUCCACUCCCUCCCCAUGAUGUAUGUAAUGGAUUCACUAUGUCCAGGGAGUUACAAAGUAGAGCAUGGAAUUUUUUGAAUUUUCUUCCAUAGCUAAGAAAUAAAAGAAUUUAAGCUGAGAACUGUGGGAGAGGUCUUCAUUCUAUGCAAACCCAAUCACAAGGAAAAGAGAAAGCGUGAGUCUUCAGAAGGGCGAGGGACAGGAUAGAAAGGCUCUGGGGAACAAACAUCAUGUCUUUUGCUCAAGAGAAACUUUCUUAGUGUGAUUAAAAUUCAAUCCAUAUUUCUGCAUCCCUCUCAAAUGUAUAUAAGUCCUAAAUUUAUGUAACUAAUAUGACAGCUCCAUAUCAAUUGCUUCAGUCUUGACCUUUUCCUCUUGUUAAAAGCACAUGAUCCCAGUUAUUAAAUAAGGAGUUUGUGGUUUUCUUUCACUGUGCAGUAGAAACGCUUUUAAAAGUUGCUUUGGAAGAAAGAAAAGUCAUUCUUUGGAGUGAUAAGGGCAGAUUUAAACAGUAUCAUUACUCAUUCUUUGAUGUUUUUUUCCUAUGUGUGGGAAUAUUUGUCCUUCAGUAAAAAGCAAAGCACCUAGUCCUAUUCAGAGCAACCAGAAUAUUCCAAUCAGCUGCCUAAAAAUCACAUCUGCAAUUUUCUAAAAAAUAAAACAUCAGCAAAUCCAGUAAAAACCAAAGAAAUAAUUUUAAAAAUUGAUGUUGUGGCCUAAACUAUAAACUGUAUGGUACAGAAAAUGUGGGCUUCAGUCUCAAGAUAUGUGAUCUCAGUCACAAGGAGGUAAAAUGCCAAAGUGUUGACAGGUAUCUUUAUAUUUUGAGAUUAGCAGUGAUUUCAACUUUCUUUUAUAGACAAUUUUGUAUUUUUCAAAAUAUUUAUGGUGAACAUUUAUUACUUCAUAAUCAGGCAACCAGUAAGAGUUAUUUUUAAAAUACAAUAAUUCAAAAAGAAAAGACAAAAGAAUAUUUGAAAAUACCAAAAUAUUACCUGUCUUUGGGUGGUGACAUUAUAGCUAAUUUUUUUGUUUUCUCUAAUUUCCAGUUGUUUGUGUGUGUGUGUGUGUGUGUGCGCGCGUGUAUGUGUGUGUGAAUGCAUAACCUUUAUUAUAAGAAAAACAACAGACAUUUCUCAAAAUCUACAUGUUUAUGACCCCUUCUUUUAGCUCUGCAGAUGGUGGCCAGAAUUCUCUAGCCAGAGUUCAGCAUGGCUCCAAAUGAAGCCUGCCUGGUUUCUGAUCCUGGCUCUGCCACUGACUUGCCUUGUGGUCUUGUGGAAGUUACUUAUUUUCUCCAAGCCUCAGGUUCUCCUCUGUAACGUGUGUAUAAUCCCCAUAUCAUAGGAUUGCUGGAGGGUUAAAUAAGAUCAUAUAUGGAAAAUGCUAUGCUACAAAUGCUCUAUAAGGGAUAGAUAUUAAUUCAAAGUGCACCAUUCUCUUCUUGAGGCUUAUAGGGAUCAAAGCACUUUAGAGGUUAUAGCUACUCAAUCUUCCCUAUAAAACUUCCAGAAUGUGAUAUGAAUAUACCUUCCUUUUAGUAACUUAAAAACCAACACUUUGAGAAGAGUUUGUGAAAUAAUGCAUGACAUUUGUAACCUGUGUAGAAAAAUAAACACAUUUUCUGAUUUCAAA